rnacentral:sRNA from 1 species
AUGGGUUUGGGAGCACUCAUUCACUUUGUGAGAGAGUGCAUCCAUAAGUACCUCUACUUUUCCAAGGCUACAAUAUGCAUCCAGGGUAUUUAUCUCAGAGAUACUUUAAAAUGAAAGUAUAAUGAUAUAUUUUAAAGAGUGUGAUUCAAACUAAUUUCUAAUCAAUUUUCUUUUUAUUUCUACACACACACACACACACACACACACACACACACACACACACACAUAUAUAUAUAUAUAUAAUGUAGGGUUGGUUUUGAGCCAUAGCUUCGUCAACCAUGCGAUAAUGUCUAUCUUGAUCAUGUACCUCCAAGAGAAUUGGUUUUCAUGAACAUUUUCUAAUAGCUGCCGUAGUUACAAAUGUGCAAGAAGGGGUAGCAGACAUAUUGGUGAUUUUCCUAGCUCAUUUCUCACACACAUUCAAUGGUGGUCUCAAAAUAAUUGCCACCACAAAUGCUGCCUAUAUUCUUGUAAGUACAUGUUCUUCCCUGAAAUCCUUAUAGUGAAGAGAAUUAACAUUAAUUAAUUAACUGUUCAAGACUUGUUUUGAUUGCUAUUCUUGUUAAUUAUAUAGGGGCUAUCUCUGUUAUGGCUUCCUAAUGAAUAUAAGAGUGAGGACUACGCAGCAAUGGCCAGGAUAUUCUAUGGAGCUGUGGUACUAUUAACAUUAGGCGAAUCUGGGCGAUCCGCUGCAUUGGAAGAAUUUCUUAAGAAGCAAUGUUUAAGCAAACAUAAAGAAACAGGACGCAGAUGACAAACGACCGGAAGGAUGGGAAGAAGCUAGCGAACAGAAAGAAAUAACGGCAGAAAAGCAUACAGAAGCUGGUGGCGACCAACAGGUGACGAAAGAAACGGCAGAAAGGAAUAAAAAGGACUUCUGGGUGUUCCAUGGUUUUUAGGUGCAGUGGUACCUCUUUUCCUUUCAAAAACAACUUGGACUCAGAUCUUCAUGAUUUCAACAAUUGCAAUGGCAGUUUCUUAUUUAUUGUUCUGGUUUGGGUUCAACGAUUAUUUGAAAAACAAUAAAGAAGCACAAGCAGGGGAGCAUCCCCAAGUCACGGAAAGAGAGAACCUUUGGACACUGAACAAAAAGGUGAGGAAGAAAAAACGUUUGCGCAAAGAAAUUGUAGCUUCAUGGUUGGCCUUCUUUGUAUUCAGUAUGGUAAAGGCAGCGGGGAGCACCUUCUUUUUCGAACAAAUCAGUAACUUGAAAAAUCCCAUCCACAAUUAUGACCCUGCAGUUUAUUUCAAUGUGCUUAGCUCCUUUUCGAGGUACAUAAUCUCAUUUCUCUUCCCCAAACUAAUUCCAAAGCGAACGCGGGUGAGAAUUGGCUGUGGAAUGGCUUCUACUGUGUUAUGUUGCGUUGCUGCUUGGGUGGUUGAGAUCCACAGGAUGAGGAAAGUUACGAGGGCAGGGCUUGAAGAUGACACUUUUGACAUUUCUAUGAGCAUAUUUUGGUUGGUUCCACAGUUCUUCCUGUUAGGACUUAUGGAAGGGUUGGCCGUAGAUGGAUUGAUUGAUCUUUUGGCUGAUAGAGUGGACGAGGAGGAUAAAGAAAUGGCUAAGAAUUAUGGAUCCCACACCAGCGACUUAGUGGUGGGGAUUGGAAAAUUACUAACUGCUCCUAUUAGCUUAGCAUUUAGUCAUAGAUGGUUCAAUGACAGCAUAAAUCUGAGUCGUCUGGACAAGUUUUACAGACGGCUAACGUUUCUAAGUCUCUGUAGCUUCGUCUACUACUUGUAUGUCCGCUUUUACUUUUAUAGCAAGGAUGACACACAUAACUCCGCCAUCGAAGAACACGAACAAGGCCGUAAUGGAAGUGGAGUUGUGGAAAUCGCAACUGUUUAGAUCUCCUAAGUCCUAACACAAGAGUUAUUAGCAAUGAGUUUGUUAACAGUUUUAUAUAUGUUAAAUUGCAUGCAUAUGUUUGUAUGUUUUUG